GACGAACGCUGGCGGCGUGCUUAACACAUGCAAGUCGAACGGAAAGGCCCUGCUUUUGUGGGGUGCUCGAGUGGCGAACGGGUGAGUAACACGUGAGUAACCUGCCCUUGACUUUGGGAUAACUUCAGGAAACUGGGGCUAAUACCGGGUAGGAGCUCCUGCUGCAUGGUGGGGGUUGGAAAGUUUCGGCGGUUGGGGAUGGACUCGCGGCUUAUCAGCUUGUUGGUGGGGUAGUGGCUUACCAAGGCUUUGACGGGUAGCCGGCCUGAGCGGGUGACCGGCCACAUUGGGACUGAGAUACGGCCCAGACUCCUACGGGAGGCAGCAGUGGGGAAUAUUGCACAAUGGGCGGAAGCCUGAUGCAGCAACGCCGCGUGCGGGAUGACGGCCUUCGGGUUGUAAACCGCUUUCGCCUGUGACGAAGCGUGAGUGACGGUAAUGGGUAAAGAAGCACCGGCUAACUACGUG
rnacentral:rRNA from 1 species